rnacentral:lncRNA from 1 species
AUGAUGCGGAAUCCCCUCAGCGCCCGUAAGACCCCCCCGGAGCCGUUCCCGUGCCCAGCAGCAGGCACGAACCCCCUGACGAGACGUGGUCGCUACCCGGCGGUUCCCGCCCGCACCACGCCCGUCCCAGGCCCGACCACACACCAACCGGGACACCCAAGUCGGCCGGGAGACACGGCUCAAAUCCCCACAGGGCGUGGGACAUUCCCCCAAACAGCCGGGACUCCUGAACGGGCCAGGCCUUCCAGGGCCUCAAGCCCCGGGCCUUCCUGGCAAGCACGCGGCCGCCGGGCCUCAUCAAAGCCCUCCGUCACCGUCGGGGCCAGGACACCGCCACCGCUGCCCAAGCCCACCGCUUUCCGCCCGCAAGGGCCCGGGCGCCAGGCGGCCGCCCGCCGCCGCCUCCCCGCUCUGCCCCCCCGCGCGGCGACCUGGGCGAAGCGCUCCACGCGGCGCGGGUGGCUCGCUCUGCCGGGCAGACCACCCCCUCCAGGGCGUCCAAGGGCUCGGCAUCGGACCCUCCAGGGAGAGGGAGACCGUGCACCGGGAAGGACUCCGACCCGUGGCCUCCCAAAGGACCCCCCCCAAGGUGCGGUCAGCGCCGCGGCCCAGGGACCUGGCGGCUGCCUUCCCCAGACCCCCACGGGAGCCACGCCUCCCAGAGGAGAGGCCACAUGCAAGACCGUCCCCGCCCCUGCCCGCGCGGUCCUUCCCUACCCGGGCCUCCCACAGCCGCUGACGCCAUCCCACUUGAGGCCAGGGCACCUCCUCCAGAGCCCCUCGCCCAUCCAGACGUGGGCCUGUCCACCCACGUCCCCGGCAGGCUCCCUCUGCCCGCCUGUCGCUCACCACUUCAGCUGCCCCCUUCUCGCCACCCAGCCCCAGCCUCCGCCCCAACAUCCCUGGACGUCCCAGGGGAGCGCCCUCAGGGGUUCCCAGGCUCCCCCCCUCCCAUGGGGGACGGCCCUGAUCCAAGGGCCCCCGCUACCACAGACCCCCUGCAGCAGGUGGCCCUCAGGGGUCCCCAGAGCAGAAAGAGAACACUACCCUGCCGGGAUCCCGUCUCCCCACAGCAUCCUGAGAAGGGCGCCCGGCCUGGGCCAGGACGCCCCCUGGGGCCCUAGGGCCGCACACUUGCCUCGCGGGCCGGGCCCAAAUUUCGGCCCCCGCGACGGCUUGCGAAACCCCCCAAGGCCGGCGGGAGGCCGCCCGGGAUCUCCAGCACGCUCGGGCACGCGGCCUCUCCCCCGAGGCCAGCGCCGGGCCACGGGCCCCAUGCUUCCUGGGCCCGGCAGGCGGCCGCCUUCCCCAGACCUCACCCGAGUGGCUGCUGACACCAGAGGCCCCAAGGCCAAGGGCCCAUCUACCCCCGAGCCCCCGGUGGCCGCCACGUGCCGGACCUCAGUUUCGAUGAGGAGACGGUAG